rnacentral:rRNA from 1 species
ACUUAAAUUGAAGAGUUUGAUCAUGGCUCAGAUUGAACGCUGGCGGCAGGCCUAACACAUGCAAGUCGAGCGGUAGCACAGAGAGCUUGCUCUCGGGUGACGAGCGGCGGACGGGUGAGUAAUGUCUGGGAAACUGCCUGAUGGAGGGGGAUAACUACUGGAAACGGUAGCUAAUACCGCAUAAUGUCGCAAGACCAAAGUGGGGGACCUUCGGGCCUCAUGCCAUCAGAUGUGCCCAGAUGGGAUUAGCUGGUAGGUGGGGUAACGGCUCACCUAGGCGACGAUCCCUAGCUGGUCUGAGAGGAUGACCAGCCACACUGGAACUGAGACACGGUCCAGACUCCUACGGGAGGCAGCAGUGGGGAAUAUUGCACAAUGGGCGCAAGCCUGAUGCAGCCAUGCCGCGUGUGUGAAGAAGGCCUUCGGGUUGUAAAGCACUUUCAGCGGGGAGGAAGGCGGUGAGGUUAAUAACCUCAUCGAUUGACGUUACCCGCAGAAGAAGCACCGGCUAACUCCGUGCCAGCAGCCGCGGUAAUACGGAGGGUGCAAGCGUUAAUCGGCAUUACUGGGCGUAAAG